CCUACGGGAGGCAGCAGUGAGGAAUAUUGGUCAAUGGGCGCGAGCCUGAACCAGCCAAGUAGCGUGAAGGAUGACUGCCCUACGGGUUGUAAACUUCUUUUAUAAAGGAAUAAAGUGAGGCACGUGUGCCUUUUUGUAUGUACUUUAUGAAUAAGGAUCGGCUAACUCCGUGCCAGCAGCCGCGGUAAUACGGAGGAUCCGAGCGUUAUCCGGAUUUAUUGGGUGUAAAGGGAGCGUAGAUGGGUUGUUAAGUCAGUUGUGAAAGUUUGUGGCUCAACCGUAAAAUUGCAAUUGAUACUGGUAGUCUUGAGUACAGUUGAGGUAGGCGGAAUUCGUGGUGUAGCGGUGAAAUGCUUAGAUAUCACGAAGAACACCGAUUGCGAAGGCAGCUUACUAAACUGCCACUGACAUUGAUGCUCGAAAGUGUGGGGAGCAAACAGGAUUAGAUACCCGAGUAGUC
rnacentral:rRNA from 1 species